GUGAAUCUAAUUGUCCAUGUUUAUGUGUUGAACCGAGGAUGCAUAAAACAUUGAAUAAACAGGCAAAUGUAGGAUGCAUUUGGUUAUUCCUAUUAGUCAUUACACAUUUAACCAUACCAAUUGUGUUAUAAAUCUUGUACUACCUAAGGAUUUAAUCAUUAAUUAUUUUAGAAUAACUUUCACUUUGCACAUUUUUUAGAAAUGAGUUAUGCAGGUAACUAAUUCUUAAAAUUAGGUCAAAUUUGAACAUAACAUAAGAUUUGUAAUAUUUUUCAAAUUAGGCAGAUAGGUGCAAAGCUGCAACUAGACCAAGCUGUAUCAUAUUGUGUAGUUAAUUAUUAACUAAAAAUAAAAAUAUGUAUAAGUAUAUUUCUUGCAGAAUACUAUUUUUUAAAUGAAACAGUCAAACUCAAUUCUGGAAUUUGAUUCAGGUAAGUAUUUACUUUG